rnacentral:tRNA from 1 species
GGAAUAUAGCUCAGCAGCACAGUAUCUGCCUGACAAGUACAAGGUCCUAAGUUCAAUUCUUAGUACCA